UUUAUGGAGAGUUUGAUCCUGGCUCAGGAUGAACGCUGGCGGCGUGCCUAAUACAUGCAAGUCGAGCGAACGGACGAGAAGCUUGCUUCUCUGAUGUUAGCGGCGGACGGGUGAGUAACACGUGGAUAACCUACCUAUAAGACUGGGAUAACUUCGGGAAACCGGAGCUAAUACCGGAUAAUAUUUUGAACCGCAUGGUUCAAAAGURAAAGACGGUCUUGCUGUCACUUAUAGAUGGAUCCGCGCUGCAUUAGCUAGUUGGUAAGGUAACGGCUUACCAAGGCAACGAUGCAUAGCCGACCUGAGAGGGUGAUCGGCCACACUGGAACUGAGACACGGUCCAGACUCCUACGGGAGGCAGCAGUAGGGAAUCUUCCGCAAUGGGCGAAAGCCUGACGGAGCAACGCCGCGUGAGUGAUGAAGGUCUUCGGAUCGUAAAACUCUGUUAUUAGGGAAGAACAUAUGUGUAAGUAACUGUGCACAUCUUGACGGUACCUAAUCAGAAAGCCACGGCUAACUACGUGCCAGCAGCCGCGGUAAUACGUAGGUGGCAAGCGUUAUCCGGAAUUAUUGGGCGUAAAGCGCGCGUAGGCGGUUUUUUAAGUCUGAUGUGAAAGCCCACGGCUCAACCGUGGAGGGUCAUUGGAAACUGGAAAACUUGAGUGCAGAAGAGGAAAGUGGAAUUCCAUGUGUAGCGGUGAAAUGCGCAGAGAUAUGGAGGAACACCAGUGGCGAAGGCGACUUUCUGGUCUGUAACUGACGCUGAUGUGCGAAAGCGUGGGGAUCAAACAGGAUUAGAUACCCUGGUAGUCCACGCCGUAAAC
rnacentral:rRNA from 1 species